CCAAAUUUGGUUAUCGAGCAGCGGCACCCAUAAGCAAGUCUAACAAGGAAAUAAUAACAAAAAAAAAGUCGAACUGUGUAUAUACAGUAUCAUAUAUACGUUAAUUUGAAAAUAAAUAUAAAUACGUCAAGGCAUUCCAACCAGGUAUGCCCAGUAAUCUCGCGUUUCAACAACAACAAAACAAGAAACGACUCCGUGCACCAAUUAUCUAAGUAGCCAUGACGAUAGCUGCAAAGUAACAAUGGUACCAUUGUGAAGUGACUGUGGUCGUAUGUAGAACAUUGUAUGGUGCAGGGCUACAGUUGUUUAGGUAUCAAUGGUAAAAAUGAAGUUUCACGAACAGGAAGCCUACCAGUAGUAUGGUAUGCAUGCAACUGUAGUACCGGUAGUCAUAAAUAAUUUAACCUUUUAUGGUAAGAAAAUUGAACUUCAGUGUGUAACUGGAAGGCACAUGAUCAAUGAAUAAAUGGUAUUCUACAAGAUCAAGGUAGGAUAAAAUUUCAUGUGGAACUAACCACUUCAUACAGAACAUGGAAAAAGCAAAGGUACUCUGGAUCACUGGAUCAAGUCGACAGUGGAGCUGGCAAUGGCGAAGAAAGUUCUGGAUCCACUUUAAUCGGAUGAAAAGGCAGCAGAAUGUGUUCACCUUGUCUUGGAGAAUACUCGGAUCUUUUGCACUGUAGAGCAGGCAAGCAUCAUCAGCAAACAAUUUGCUCAAGAAAUUGGAGCAGUUAGACAGAUCAUUUAU